CGUCUUUGAAUGAUCUUUUAAAAAAUUUCGCGGACUGGCUACUAAUUUCGUAGCUACUUUCGUCUCGAACGCGCACGCGUAACCUAGGUUGUUCUGUGAUUCUUCCCUUCAUCGUUGUCCAAGUCAAGCUUUGACUGGGCCCUGCAUCUCUUCAAUCUCUACGAAGCAACGCCUGAGAAGUUGAUAUGUGAAGUCUCCGUCAAAGGUACUACCUUGACACAAAAACUUUUGAAGUAAAUUCUUGUCCCACCUACUUAGGACUUCAAUCCAGACUGUUGUGUUUGGUUUUCCACUACUCUAAUCCCACUCGUAGCUGUUGUUAUUGACCGUAUUUUUGAGGAACAGGUCAAAUCUUAAAUUAUUUCAAGAUUAUGAUGAAGACCAAGCCAACUUGUGUCUCAUGACAAAAUCUCAUGAAAACAACCAAGAAAAAUCUGUAAGGAAGAAGUGGUACAUCGACAGUGGAUGUUCCAAGCAUAUGACGGGAGAUGUAUCCAAGUUUACAACCUUUUUCCCCAAUAAAAGUGGACAUGUUACAUACGGCGACAACAAUAUUAGUAAAAUCUCAAAAGAGAUGUUCAGUCAGAAGCUAUGUCUAGGAAUACUAGACAAUCCACACUGCCAAGGAGGUUGACUUUACGAAUCUUGGAUCAGCCAAGACCAACUAUAAACAUCGAUGUCGCAACUGGCUGAGGAUUGGGCCCAUACAGAGAAAUUCCACAACUAUCUAGGGGUCGUAGUUAGAGAAAAAAUUCCAAUUCUACAUAAUAGUUGGAAAGAUGUACCGGACUCGCUAAAGGACCUAGUAUGGGAUAACAUUUUGGCAAAAUUUGAUAUCCCUGAAGCGGCGAAUGCAAAGAUAAAGGUGAUGUCCACCGUGGCCACUAGAUGGAGGCAAUUUAAAUCAACCAUGACCACUAAAUUUGUCUAUGCUGACUCUGAGAGGCAAGAUAAACAUGAUCAUUCGGUAAAAUAUGGCCUAGAUGCAGAAACUUGGGAGGAAUUUGCCGCAAGCUGCAAAACCCUUAACUGGCAGGUUAGAUGUUCAUGUGUUUGAUUUUUAGUGUGUAUUUCUCAUUAUAAAGGCAAUUUGAUUUGUUUGAUUCGAAUAAUAUAUGCUACAUGAUAAGGAAUCAAGAAAAAGAUGUAGGAAAUCCAAAAAUACAAUGACUGCCCCCAUUUACUUUCUCGUGGGGGAUAUUAUUUGCUUGAAAAGAAGCUAUUGGACGAGAAAAUGAAGAAAAGAUAACAUGACGCAAUGAUGACUAAGAAUACACCACACAUUGAGGAUCCUUUAUCUCCCAUUGAAAGACAUGUUAAGUGGAAGUUGGCACGCACAAAGCGAUAUGAGCAGAUGACAUUUCAGGCGGCACAAGAAAUAUCUGAUAAAAUUGGCAUUACUUGAGCGCAUCAACUGUAAUGUGGGCCAGCACACAGAAUCAUACCCUAAAGCAGAAAGUGUCAUUUCUUGUUGCUGGUUUGUCUGCCUGUCAGGACAAAAUUGGAAUCGGAUAUCUAUCUGCAUUUCCAUAUGAUUUUUUUGAUUGAUUUCAAGUUGUUCAACUGGGUUGGGCUACCUAUUAUACCAUUCACAAGCUUUGUUGGCAAAUCUUGCAUGACCUCUUGGAUCAACAUACUUUUGCUGGAAACCCUCAAGCUCAAAAUAGACACUAUGAAUCACUGAAUGAAGAAACUGGAGGAAUGAAUGAUGUCCUUUAUAGAUUAUACAAACAUAAUGGGAGAUUCUAAUCACCUAGUGUUGGCUCACCUUUUUGACAAGCCAUGCUUUUUAGGGUUGCUUGCAGUGCAGAUGUGAGAAAUCACCCAAUUUUAAUCCACUACAAUCAAGGAAAGGGAGAUUCUAAUCACCUAGUGUUGGCUCACCUUUUUGGCAAGCCAUGCUUUUUAAGGUUGCUUGCAGUGCAGAUAAGGAGCUACGACGACGGUGCUUACGUACGCACCGUCUUAGAAAGACAGUUUUUUAGGACGGUGCCUAUGUAAGCACCGUCUUAAAAAGCUCGCUUACUAAGACAGUCGAAAGCUCGCAACAUUGCCUACGUAAGGCAUCGUCUUAAAAAGUUGCUUUCUAAGACGGUGCCUACGUAAACACCAUCUUCGAAAGGUGGUUGUUUUCUAAGACGGUGUGUUCUUACCCGUCGUUGAAAGUUACUUUCAACAACGUUAGCUUUUACGACGGUUGACAACUGUCUUUGUAUACUAUUUUUGACCAUUGUAGAAAACCUUUUUUUUAGUAGUGGUAGUUAAAAGAAUAAUUAUAUUUUGAUAAUAAAAGAUUUUAAACAUUCGGUCAAUAA